rnacentral:tRNA from 1 species
GACAUAAAUCCAUUGUUAACAUGAAUAAAAUGGAGUCCGCAUGCAUUUUCAGACGUCCCAAAAACAGGAGGAUUUUGCCCUUUCAAGGCGGCAACACGGGUUCAAAUCCCGUUGGGGUCGCCA